GAUGAACGCUAGCGGGAGGCUUAACACAUGCAAGUCGAGGGGUAAAUGGUAGCAAUACUAUGAGACCGGCGAACGGGUGCGUAACGCGUGGGCAACCUACCCAUAAGCGGGGGAUAACAGUUGGAAACGACUGCUAAUACCGCAUAAGCUAUAGAGGUCGCAUGACCUAAAUAGUAAGGGUGGCAUUUAAAGAUGCUAUCACUUAUGGAUGGGCCCGCGUCUGAUUAGCUAGUUGGUGGGGUAGUGGCCUACCAAGGCAACGAUCAGUAGCCGACCUGAGAGGGUGACCGGCCACAUUGGGACUGAGACACGGCCCAGACUCCUACGGGAGGCAGCAGUGGGGAAUAUUGCACAAUGGAGGAAACUCUGAUGCAGCGACGCCGCGUGAGUGAAGAAGUAAUUCGUUAUGUAAAGCUCUAUCAGCAGGGAAGAUAGUGACGGUACCUGACUAAGAAGCUCCGGCUAAAUACGUGCCAGCAGCCGCGGU
rnacentral:rRNA from 1 species